rnacentral:rRNA from 1 species
UACCAUGCAGUCGAGCGGUAAGGCCCUUCGGUUACACGAGUGGCGAACGGGUGAGUAACACGUGGGUGAUCUGCCCUGCUCUUCGGGAUAAGCCCGGGAAACUGGGUCUAAUACCGGAUAGGACUGCGCGGUGCUUGCCGUGUGGUGGAAAGAUUUAUCGGUGCAGGAUGGGCCCGCGGCCUAUCAGCUUGUUGGUGGGGUAAUGGCCUACCAAGGCGACGACUGGUAGCCGGCCUGAGAGGGCGACCGGCCACACUGGGACUGAGACACGGCCCAGACUCCUACGGGAGGCAGCCGUGGGGAAUAUUGCACAAUGGGCGCUUGCCUGAUGCAGCGACGCCUCGUGAGGCAUGACGGCCUUCGUGAUGUAAACCUCUUUCAGCAGGGACUAAGCGUGUGUGACGGAACCUGCGGAAGAAGCACUGUCCAACUACGUGCCAGCCGCCGCGGUAAUACGUAGGGUGCCUGCGUUGUCCGGAAUUACUGGGCGUAAAGAGCUCGUAGGCUGUUUGUCGCUUCGGCUGUGAAAACCAGCAGCUCAACUGUUGUCUUGCAGGCGAUACAGCCAGACUUGAGUAUGUCAGGGGAGACUGGAAUUCGUGGUGUAGCGGUGAAAUGCACAGAUAUCAGGAGGAACACCGGGCGGUAAGGCGCGUCUCUGUAUAAAAACUGACGCUGAGGAGCGAAAGCGUGCGUAGCUGAACAGUGAUAGAUACCCUGAAAGUCCACGCCGUAAACGGGGUCGCUAGGUGUGGAUUCCUUCCACAGAUCCGUGCCGUAGCUAACGCAUUAAGCGCCCCGCCUGGGGA